UACGGGGGGGGGUAAGCGUUGUUCGGAAUUACUGGGCGUAAAGGGCUCGUAGGCGGCCAACUAAGUCAGACGUGAAAUCCCUCCGCUUAACUGGGGAACUGCGUCUGAUACUGGAUGGCUUGGAUCCGGGAGAGGGAUGCGGAAUUCCAGGUGUAGCGGUGAAAAUGCGUAGAUAUCUGGAGGAACACCGGUGGCGAAGGCGGCAUCCUGGACCGGUAUUGACGCUGAGGAGCGAAAAGCCAGGGGAGCAAACGGG
rnacentral:rRNA from 1 species